rnacentral:rRNA from 1 species
UUAAUAAUAAAAUCUGCUCAAUGAAAAUUAAAUAGCCGCAAUUCGUGCUAAGGUAGCAUAAUCAUUUGUCUCUCAAAUGGAGACUAGAACAAAAGAUUUAACAUUUAAAUUAAUUUAUUUAUUUUAAUAAUUAAAAUUAUCCUUAAUGUAAAAAGACAUUAAUUUCUAAAAAAGACGAUAAGACCCUAUCGAACUUAACUUUAGUUUAACUGGGGUAGUAAAUUAAUUAUUAUUUUAAUUUCAUUUAUAUAUUUGAUAUCCUUUAAAAUUGAAUUAUCCAGUUACCAUAGGGAUAACAGCAUAAUUAUAUUCAAAAGUUCUUAUAUAAAAUAUAGUUUAUGACCUCGAUGUUGAAUUAAUAACCUAAUUUUACUAAAGCAAAUUUUAAAAAAGGAAGUCUGUUCGACUUUUAAAAAAUUACAUGAUUUGAGUUCAGACCGGUAUAAGCCAGGUCGGUUUCUAUCUUUUUCAAAAAUCUUUACAGUACGAAAGGACCUAAAGAAAUAAUUAUAUUAAUAUAUUGGCAGAUAAAUGCAUUAGAAUUAGAAUCUAAUAAAACUAAAA